rnacentral:lncRNA from 1 species
AGGGUGGGGAGCAUUUAUUUUAAUUUUUGUCUUGCAGCUCUUUGUAGAGGACCUAGCCUUUCUCUACUGAACUGAAGGGGUUUGGUCCCAUCACCCGAAGACUGGCCCACCUGCCCACACAGGUGGGGGCACAGGAGGUCUGGGAGGCCCCAGGAGGUGGAAGUUCAGAGGCCUGCCUGGCCCUGUCCAUCCCACUGGCUGAGGCCAGGCCGGAGGGCCGACCCCAGGGGCCCUCUGUAUGCAAGCCGACGCAGACAAGGGCCCAGUGCAUAGUUAAGACACAAACACCACACAGCUGUCCAGAGCCUCCAAAGCACUGUUUAUCCAGGCUCCAUGGAACCAAGUGCCCCCAGCUGCCUGCCCUAGUCCUCAGGGGGGCACUGGCACUGCAGUGGCCUCGGCCUGAGACCCUCGAUGAGCCCCAGCCUAGCCUGCUCCAAAGCCACUGACACAUGCAUGUUUAGCCCUUGGCCCAUCAAGAUGGGGCCCUGGGAAUGAACUGGCUGCAGACCCUCCUCCAUCCCACACCCCCAGGGGCUCCAUCAGUCCUGGCUAGCUCAGCACCAUGUUAAAUAGCUUCCUUGCAAUCUCCCUUAAAUAAACCCAUCCCCAGAGCAACCUACCCACCCUGCACCCUGAAUAUAUUAUCCUAUUGGCUUAUGCCUUCUAGACUGGAGGCACUCUCUCCUCUUGCCCUCUACUCCAGGGGAUACCAUCUCCCUAAAAAACCAGGGGAGGAAGUUUUUUUCUCAACUCUGGGGCAGAGACAAAGGGUGGCCUGGGUUGGAGUGGAAAAGCCAGGAAUAGCUUCCUCUGUCCCUUCCCUCCCCAGGGUACUUCCUUCUCCUUGCCCUCUUAGCAGCCUGGGUCAGGCGCGACUUACCCAAGGUCACAGACCCAGGACCCAGAGUCAUGACCCAUGUAGGAGGUUACCCUGGUUUUGACAGCCCAAACCAGCUCCAAGGCAGGAGGACUGAACUUAAGCCUGCCUCCACCUUGGCCCCUGCAGUUCUUCAGGCUCGGAGUGAGCUGAGGGAGGUUCUAGCUCUUGACUCCACUCUGUCCGGGACCCCUGGGAUUAUCUCCCAGGACCCUCCACCCCUGGUGUCUCCAGGUCUCUCUUGCUCUGGGGAUACUCAGACAGCACCGGGCAUGGAAGCAAUGGGGCCCAGGACAUGGGCAAGCCUGUCCCUGGCCCGAUCAGCAUCUGGGCCCAGGCCAGGCCUCACACCCAGUACUGGCCAUUCUUAAGGGCAGGGUUGGCUGUCCGGCAGAACUGCAGCAGCUCUGGGUCAGGCUGGCCUCCUGGAGGGGACCCCUGGCCAGGCACAGCUGUGAGCGGGAUGGCCUGGCCUGGCUCCACCUUGCGAAAGGUCUCGGUGUCACCAGCCAGGCCGUUGCGGGGCUUGGCAGUCAGGACCUGGACGUCAUGCUUGCCCGUCUUGUUGCGUUUUCGGAGGUAGAAGAGCAGGGGCAGGAUGAGCGCCAGGAGCAGAAGUACCAGGCACAUGGGGAUGAUGACGCUGAACAUGUUGGCCUCAAGGAAGCUCAGGAAGCCUCCCUUGGCCACAGCAGGCUCAGGGCUGGAUGCCAUGGGGCCUGGCUCGCCUGUGGGGGUGCUGCUCUCUGGCUUCCCUGCUUCCGUCCGGGCAGCCUCGGGGACACUGAGCAGGGCCACGCUGUAGGGCCGGGCAGCAUUGUAAGGCUCAGUGGCAAAGUCCAGGGAGGCCACAGCAGGCGGGACGCCCUGUGCCCACAGCUCCAGAGUGAGACUGUCGCCUGCGGGGCCAGGGGCCCUCCCCUCUG